rnacentral:rRNA from 1 species
AACGAACGCUGGCGGCGUGCCUAACACAUGCAAGUCGAACGAGAAAGGGGCUUCGGCUCCGAGUAAAGUGGCGCACGGGUGAGUAACACGUGGGUAACCUGCCUCUAAGAUUGGGAUAACUCGUCGAAAGAUGAGCUAAUACCGAAUAAGACCACAGUUCCCGCGGGAACAGGGGUCAAAGGUAGCCUCUGCUUGCAAGCUAUCACUUAGAGAUGGGCCUGCGCACCAUUAGCUAGUUGGUAGGGUAACGGCCUACCAAGGCAAAGAUGGUUAGCUGGUCUGAGAGGAUGAUCGGCCACACUGGAGCUGGGACACGGUCCAGACUCCUACGGGAGGCAGCAGUGGGGAAUAUUGCGCAAUGGGCGAAAGCUUGACGCAGCAACGCCGCGUGAGUGAUGAAGGCCUUCGGGUCGUAAAGCUCUGUCGGGAGGAACGAAUGCUCCUGAGGUUAACAGCCUCGGGAGGUGACGGUACCUUCAAAGGAAGCACCGGCUAACUCUGUG